rnacentral:lncRNA from 1 species
GUGGCCCGAAUAGAGAUACUUGUGUAAGCCUUCUUCAAGACUUUACAAUGAAGCAUUGAUACUAAGGCUAUUAGAUUGUUGGGUAUCAGAGCGGCCUAUAUUACCUAUCAUAUCUAGUUAAUUAGGAACAACUUCGUGUUUGAGUCGAGAAGGCUAUUUGCUAGAUUCAUCUUGGAGAGAGCCUUGAGUCAAGCUACUGAAUUUGGUCAUUUGUCAUCGACUGAUGUGGCC